rnacentral:rRNA from 1 species
ACGAACGCUGGCGGCGUGCCUAAUACAUGCAAGUAGAACGCUGAAGGAGGAGCUUGCUUCUCUGGAUGAGUUGCGAACGGGUGAGUAACGCGUAGGUAACCUGCCUGGUAGCGGGGGAUAACUAUUGGAAACGAUAGCUAAUACCGCAUAAGAGUAGAUGUCGCAUGACAUUUGCUUAAAAGGUGCAAUUGCAUCACUACCAGAUGGACCUGCGUUGUAUUAGCUAGUUGGUGAGGUAACGGCUCACCAAGGCAACGAUACAUAGCCGACCUGAGAGGGUGAUCGGCCACACUGGGACUGAGACACGGCCCAGACUCCUACGGGAGGCAGCAGUAGGGAAUCUUCGGCAAUAGACGGAAGUCUGACCGAGCAACGCCGCGUGAGUGAAGAAGGUUUUCGGAUCGUAAAGCUCUGUUGUAAGAGAAGAACGAGUGUGAGAGUGGAAAGUUCACACUGUGACGGUAUCUUACCAGAAAGGGACGGCUAACUACGUG